CUUCAUAAGAUUUUAUUCACUACAAACUUGUUUCGUAUGACAAACAAUGCUUGCCACACUCAUCAGGUGAAUUUAAAUGCGCGACAUUUAAAUUCACUUGAUGAGCGCGGCAAAGAAAAUAUUUAAGAAAAAUUUAGGAAUUGUCAAGUGUUCUUUGUCAAAAGUCAUAUCAAUUUAAAGUUGAAAUAUAUUUGGAUAUGUGGUGACAAAUUCCUACUUCAUCUACAAACUACUCAUCUACCGGGUGUCCCAAAAAAAAGUACUCCCGUUUGAUUUAUAAUAACUUCUAAACAAGUAAAGCUAUCAAAUAGAAAUGACUUGCGUUAAAUAGAGGAAGGACUAACUUAGAUUUUGAUAUAUUACAGUUGUAUUUUACUUAAAAAUUCACGGAGAUAUUAAUGUUCAAAAUCGGUGGCUUAUUUUGGGAUGUGUCUAAAAUUAGCGAAAAUCGGCAUAUCAAAUAUUAACUCCAGCGUUUGUCUGCUUAAUGACAUAUCAGGCUAACUUGUAUUUCAGCGAAUUCUCGUUAGGGUUUGUAAGGGAUAUGGCGUAGAUUUAUAUAUCUUACAUAACACUUACUUGUAAGUCUUAGCUCAUUGUUUCCUGAAAUAUGAACGUUCGAAAUUAUGCAAGUAUUUAAUAGGUUUUUACAAACUUAAAAGUAGAUGAAAGACCAUGGCAAGGCAGGCGCUUAAAUAGCUUUUCUUAAAUAGCCUAAUUUUUUUAUGUUUUUCAUGGGUUCAAAACAGUUGAUUAUUUCUUGGUUAUAGCAAGAUGAAUAUUAUUCUUUAAUGAAGGAAAUAAUAUUGCUUUUUGCAAAUACACAUCACAGUAUCAACGCUACUAUUUUGUUACGUUUUGUUCCAAAAAUGUUGGAUGUCUCUGGGGAGUUGCUUGUUAUGUCUUAUGCAUGGAGUUGUAUGGUUUGAUUGUGUUUCAUUAUCUGUUUAUUCUGAACUUGCCAAGAUUAAGAAAAGGCAAAAGAGUUUGGGUGUUCUUAACAAGAUUUCAGAACGUUGCAGAAGUUAGAAGAGCUUCACAAUUCCAUUGUGACAGCAUGCCCUAAUUCUGAACUACGAACGAUUCAUGACGAUCCUUCGAAAUGCAGUGGUCUCAUGAAAUAAGGAAACGUAUUCGUGCUAGGAACGAACGCGGAUUUCGGACGAAUAAAUCUUGCUUGUAUUUUGUAGAUAUAAUAAUACUUUGUUUCAUAAUAAACAAUUUCUCAAGUGUCAUUUAUUUACUGGUAAUAGUGCAUGUUUCAGUCGGGCAAAUCUUGAUUAAUAUUUGAUACGCCGUUUUUUGCAUAUUUCAGACACAUCCAAAAAUAUGCUCCCGAUUUUAAACAUUAAUAUCUCCAUGAAUUUU